ACUUUCAAACCAAAGCAACUAUAAGCUGCCUUAAAUAUCGGAAUAAAAAAGUUUUAUUUUUGUAAGUAGGCAACAACUAGUCAUUGAUAGCUGAUGAGCAGAGGAAGUUCUUAUUUUAGAAAAUUUUAAAAAAUAAUGAUAAUAACGUACGAAACCAUGGCAUCAUGCUGCGUAUAACAUUUUAAUCUGUUUUAAAACUUAAAAUUUUGGUAACAUUGUCUGGAACAAUAACCAAUAUAGAAUGAGAAAUUCCCAAGAUAAAUAAACCUUUUUCUAAAUCAUUGUUUUUUAAUGUCUGCAUAGCAUUUCACCAUAAUUUAUUUUACCAAGACCUCAUUGUUGGAUGACCACAUCAUGUAGUUGUGCCAUAGCAGGUAAAGCAAAACCUACCUCGACCAUAAGAAUGCCUCCUUUUAUCCAAGUCAAACAAACAACUGCUCAACUGUUACAGAACCUGUUUAGCUUAAGCGUCUUGCUCUGUUUUCCCAAUUAGCAAUUGUCUAGGUAAACCGUUAAUCCCAAAUUGCUCACUUGGCAUUAAAGGAUUUUUUUUUUCCUCUUUCCUUUAAUCAGUGCAACCAAAGAAAACCACAAGUAACUUUGACUUUCAGGUAUCAAAAGUGGUUUUCCUGGUCUGUGACAGGUUUAAUUGAAUGUCUGCAACAGAGGAUGGAGAUUGAUGCAUGGGCAGGUCUGCUGCCCAGAUGGCUUACCUAGCCUUGUUCUGCUUUUCAAUUGAGCCAACAUUGAAAAUGAGAAUAUUUCACAUAAACAUGUAGAGUUCUGGCUUCUCUUAAAAUAUCUGACAGUUCCUAG
rnacentral:lncRNA from 1 species